UCUCUGAAUGUUUUCCAGAGAUUCGGAGAGCUUUGAAUCUAUUCUGACCUUUACAUUGGUCUCCUGAUUUGAUUCAGAUUUGGAGAUUCAGCCUCAGAAUCAGGCCAAAUCUCCUCUGAAUCAAAUCACUACCCAAAGCUUUGCACAGCCCUAGUAUAUGUGUAGGAGAGAUCAGUGGCAAAUUACUCUGUUUUUGGAUCAAAAUGGAAGUUGAGGAGGAAUCGGACAACCUGGCUACAUCCACAUGAAUAUGGAUGUUUGGUUUCCUGGGAUCAACUAGCAGCAGGACACCUUAUGCCGCCACUAGUUAUCCCUGGGGAACGCUUGUGCCAUGCGAGCUCUGGUUUUUUUACCUCUGAAUAUCCUGAGGUAAAAAAAAAAAACAACCCACCACUCCCUUUGCAGUACAGAGAGCACCUGAAUGUGAGAUACGUGGCGCUGCAGGUGUGUCUGCAGUACCGCUUACCGCACAGCCGCGCUUGUCUGGAUGCAGCCUUUGGAAUCCUGGGUGCAGCCUCUGCAAUCCUACAGAGAUUCAGUUUACACAUUGUCCUUUGCUCAUAAUAUGCCCACAAGCACAACCUUACCCUUAAGAAAUAGGCUUUUUCAGGUGAAAUUGCAACUAGUUUCAACUGUUUUUUAAAUACAGAAACAUUUGCAUUUAACAGGAGAAUGGUUGAGAUUUUUUUUUCUUUUUUCUUUUUCU